rnacentral:rRNA from 1 species
UAUUUCGGAGAGGGAGCAUGAGAAACGGCUACCACAUCUAAGGAAGGCAGCAGGCGCGUAAAUUACCCAAUCCUGACUCAGGGAGGUAGUGACAAGAAAUAGCAAACCGGGAACCUCAUGGUUUCACGGUAUUGCAAUGAGAACAAUUUAAAACCCUUAGCGAGAAUCAAGUGGAGGACAAGUCUGGAGCCAGCACCCGCGGUAAUUCCAGCUCCACUAGCGUAUAUUAAAGUUGUUGCAGUUAAAAAGCUCGUAGUUGAACCUCUGUCUGGGGCUAGUUUUGGCUUUGGUCAGGCUAGUUCAGGGCAUCCGCCUACAAGACUUAGAGGGCAUUCAGUUGUUCACUAGGAGGAGUAGGCAUUUUACUUUGAAAAAAUUAGAGUGUUUAAGGCAGACAAUCGCCCGCAUAUAUUAGCAUGGAAUAAUAGAAUAGGACACUUUUCCAUUUCGUUGGUUAUUGGAAUCGUGUAAUGAUUAAUAGGGACAGUUGUGGGCAUUUGUAUUUAAUUGUCAGAGGUGAAAUUCUUGGAUUUAUUAAAGACAAACUAACGCGAAAGCAUUUGCCAAGGAUGUUUUCAUUAAUCAAGAACGAAAGUUAGGGGAUCAAAGACGAUCAGAUACCGUCCUAGUCUUAACUAUAAACUAUUCCGGCUCAAUGUUUGACUGGCUUAUAUAACCAGUUGAGCGUUGUAUGAGAAAUCAAAGUCUUUAGGUUCUGGGGGGAGUAUGGUUGCAAAGCUGAAACUUAAAGGAAUUGACGGAAGAGCACAACCAGGAGUGGAUUCUGCGGCUUAAUUUGACUCAACACGGGGAAACUUACCAGGUUAAAACAAUAGUGGGAUUGACAGUUUGAGAGCGCUUUCUUGAUUGGUUGGGUGGUGGUGCAUGGCCGUUCUUAGUUGGUGGAGUGAUUUGUCUGCUUAAUUGCGUUAACGAACGAGACCUUAACCUGCUUACUAGACUGGCGAUCAUCAAUCGUUAGCUCUUCUUAGAGGGACUUUGGUUGUUUUAACUCCAAGGAAGUUUGAGGCAAUAACAGGUCUGUGAUGCCCUUAGAUAUCCUGGGCCGCACGCGUCAUACAAUGACUAGUUCAGAAAGUUUUCUCCUGACCCGAAAGGGGAUGGGUAAUCUUGAUAAUACUAGUCGUGUUAGGGAUCGAUCCUUGCAAUUAUAGAUCUUGAACGAGGAAUUCCUAGUAAGUGCGGUUCAUCAGACCGUACUGAUUACGUCCCUGCUCUUUGUACACACCGCCCGUCGCUUCUACCGAGUGGGUGGUCCGGUGAGAUAAUUGAACUUCGCAGGUAACUGA